GACUGUGCUAUUUUCUCUUCUGUGUGUGAUUUGGAAGCUCUUAUAACUUGCUUAGCCUCUUUCUGCCUAAUCUUUUUUUUUUUUUCAAUUUGACAAUUUUUAUUUUUACAUGAAAUGGGGGUACAGAAGGUAAGGGGGGGGGAUUGACAUUCAGUAAUGCAUUUCCACAAAGGUUACAGUACUUCAUUCCCACCCGUGAAGGUAAGGAUUAACUUGUUACA